GAGACACAGCGAGAGACAGACGUCUGUGAGUCCAGAAGAGAGCCCUCACCAGAACCUGACCGUGCUGGCACCUCGAUCUUAGCCUUCCAGCCUCCCCGACUGAGAGACAGUAUCAGCUGUUCAGAGUGGCAGUCCGUGGCCCUUUGUUACGGAGCCCGAGCUGACCAGCACAGGCCUGUUUCCGCUUGCCCAAAGAUCUCCCUAAAGGCGGGCAGGGUUACUUGUUAGUCUCCAGGAAGAUGUCCAGCUGCCCUCAGGGGGCAUCUCAGCCUACGCUGGAUUAAAAAAUGGUGCCAGGAGUGGACAGAGGAGAGGAGGCAAACAUGCACCCCACAGCCCGCCGGGAGGGCCCAACCUGCUGGCAACGUCUCAGUGGAUCUUGGAAACUGCGGGCAGCUGUCUGCUGGCGCAGCACAUCGUCUGUGUUGUUAAAAAGCACUCUGUCUUUUAAGCCCCCGUGAUGCUCUGCACACAGGCAGCUGCUCCCAGAGGAGUCCCAAGAGGAAGUUUCAGCUGUGCCUGGGCAAUUCACUCACUUGGACCUCAUUAUCUUUCCAAAACACCCACGAGGAAGCCAUUAGGAGUGGGCUGAAAGAAUCCAGCUCUCUGUCUCUCUCCCUGAUGCACGUCUGACCGAAAGGAGCUCACGAUCCACAAGUUUAAAGGCAUCGUUUUCCAGAACAAAUCUCGGCUCACUGGCUCAGGCCCCUAGUGCCCCACAGAGCAGCAAGGACCUGCUCGAGCAGCUCGAGCUGUGCCAUCUCCAAAUUGCUGAGGUUUGGUGGGCCCAAGGGGACACUUCCAUCCACGGCUGCUCCGGCUGCUCCUGCCAGGCCCACCCCUCCGACUUCUCCCAGGCAGCCCACGGGCCCCACCGGGGAGACUGGGCCACCAUCUGCUUGCACACUGAGCAAUGCAGGGCUUGCUAACAGCAAGUCUGAAAGUGACCUCCCUUCCCUGGGACGUACAACCCGUGACACAGCAGAAAUAAAUAAAGAGGAAG